rnacentral:rRNA from 1 species
AAUUUUGGACAAUGGGGGAAACCCUGAUCCAGCCAUCCCGCGUGUAUGAUGCAGGCCUGCGGGUUGUAAAGUACUUUUGGUAGAGAAGAAAAGGUAUCUCCUAACACGAGCUAGUGCUGACGGUAUCUGCAGAAUAAGCACCGACGAACUACGUGCCAGCAGCCGCGGUAAUACGUAGGAUGCAAGCGUUAAUCGGAAUUACUGGGCGUAAAGCGUGUGUAGGCGGUACGGAAAGAAAGAUGUGAAAUCCCAGGGCUCAACCUUGGAACUGCAUUUUUAACUGCCGAGCUAGAGUAUGUCAGAGGGGGGUAGAAUUCCACGUGUAGCAGUGAAAUGCGUAGAUAUGUGGAGGAAUACCGAUGGCGAAGGCAGCCCCCUGGGAUAAUACUGACGCUCAGACACGAAAGCGUGGGGAGCAAACAG